AGAGUUUGAUCCUGGCUCAGGAUGAACGCUAGCGGCAGGCUUAACACAUGCAAGUCGAGGGGUAGAGGUUGCUUGCAACCUUGAGACCGGCGCACGGGUGCGUAACGCGUAUGCAACCUACCUUUUACAGAGGGAUAGCCCAGAGAAAUUUGGAUUAAUACCUCAUAGUAUAUAUCUUUCGCAUGUUAGGUAUAUUAAAGUUCCAACGGUAAAAGAUGGGCAUGCGUCCUAUUAGCUAGAUGGUAAGGUAACGGCUUACCAUGGCUACGAUAGGUAGGGGUCCUGAGAGGGAGAUCCCCCACACUGGUACUGAGACACGGACCAGACUCCUACGGGAGGCAGCAGUGAGGAAUAUUGGACAAUGGGCGCAAGCCUGAUCCAGCCAUGCCGCGUGCAGGAAGAAGCAUCUAUGGUGUGUAAACUGCUUUUGUACAGGAAGAAACAUCCCGACGUGUCGGGACUUGACGGUACUGUAAGAAUAAGGAUCGGCUGACUCCGUGCCAGCAGCCGCGGUAAUACGGAGGAUCCAAGCGUUAUCCGGAAUCAUUGGGUUUAAAGGGUCCGUAGGCGGUUUGGUAAGUCAGUGGUGAAAGCCCGCAGCUCAACUGUGGAACGGCCAUUGAUACUGCCAGACUUGAAUUACAAGGAAGUAACUAGAAUAUGUAGUGUAGCGGUGAAAUGCUUAGAUAUUACAUGGAAUACCAAUUGCGAAGGCAGGUUACUACUUGUGGAUUGACGCUGAUGGACGAAAGCGUGGGGAGCGAACAGGAUUAGAUACCCUGGUAGUCCAA
rnacentral:rRNA from 1 species